CGCUUUCUCGAGUGGGGUCGCCCUGGUUCUUCAAUGGGCGGCGUGUCGGCGGCCAUUGCGAGAAGACGCCUUUCCCACCCGUUGAGCUAGGAACGCUGUUCCAGCCCCAGCUGCCCUUCGUUACAGGGACACGUGGCCUCCAUCAGAAAUGGAGGGAGGUCGGGCCGGUAUGUCUGCAGAGAGCGAGAUUCCAAUGGGCCGCAGGCUCCACUGUUCCUGCGGAGUCAUCGCCCUGAUCCCGGGAGCCUGAGACCUCUCUACCUAACAAAACACGAUCUAGAUCACAACCAAGCAACAUAAAGUCAUCUUAACCUGUUCCCGUGCUGUUUCCUGAUUUUGGUCAUUAAAAUCAGACACAUCCCUAGCGACAGAAUUGAGAGGCCAUGUGCAGAUUUAAAAUACCCAUUUCUGUAACUCACUCAUUUUUCAUUUUCAAUAUGCUGAAAACCCCUGUAAGACUGAAGUGACUUUGAACAUCCUAAUCAUCUCUGGUUGUGUUUCGUGACCCAAAGCUUUGAAUACUGGGGAAAGAAUCAGCAUGAUUUAUCGUAGAAAGAAGUGAGACUUGGACUGGACUUCAUACAGAUAUGCAGAAUUUCUGAAGGCAGAAUUGGAAGAAGGAUUCUUGAGAUGAAGAAAAGGUGAAUGGGAAAGGAGGCCGCAAAUCACAGGACUCACAUUGUGGAAGAAGAGAACUGAAUUGUGCUCCCAUCUCCACACACGUUGACAUACACGCAAUAGUAAAUGUGAAAAUUGAAUGAAAAUGAGGACAUGACGGCUCCAAGAGCCUUGCAAAACAGUAAUGAGAAGACCUAGCACACCAGGAGGUCUCAUGGCUGAGGGCUGCUGAGGCAAAUGGUUCCUUUAAACAACUCCAAAUAAGAAGUUUUGAUAUUCAGAAAUUAUUUGCUAAAGACUCACUUAAAACAGAACACCAACAUGACAUGACUGCUCAAAGGUCACAAGCUAUCAACAAGAAGGCAGAUGUCCUGCAGCCCGCUAUUAUGGAUGGAGGACCUUGGGGAUGGCUGUCCAUGCAGCCUGCUGGCAAGUCUCUGUUAUUCUUUAAUCAUUGAUUCAGGUAAAAUCUUAUCCUUCUCAAGAACUCUGAUGCUUUUGAUGACUGGUAGUCUUGCCAGCUUAAAGCAAAAACAGAUUCCUGUUUUUGUGAAAGAUAGGAAAGUCUAAGAUGUAUGAAAGUCUGAGAAUGUAGUUACGAAGGCCUGAGGAUAAAAAGGCUUAAAUGAUGAUAAAGUGAGUUGAGACAUUAAAAAGACUGAAAUAUGUUCCGGAUUUCUCUAUUUCUCAUGCUACUGUUCAUAAUAAAGUUCACCAAUAUCACUAUAGGAUCAUAACUACAAAGUCAAGAUUAAGAUGCUUUUCAUUGUCCUAAAAAAAAAAAAUCUGUCAAUUUUAAAAUGGUAAUGCUUUUAGCCAAGUUGCUUCUAACAUAAAUAUGCUGCUAAUGUGUCUAAUACUUAUGUUUCUACAAACUCUAAUGAUUCUUGUAAGUUCCAGGGAGCUAAAUUGGAUCCAAACAAACAGGUCAGAUUCACUCCAGGUAAUAUUCAAUCUUUUCCUGGUCCCAGGACUCCCUUCCCUCAUGUUAGGACUCCUUGGGAACCCCUCCCUCAUCUUACAAUCUUCCCCUCAAGUGACAGGACCUAAGAAAAAAUUUUUUUUCUAAACUUAACCUUGUCCUCUGCUCUGUCAGCAUCUUACCAGGUCUAAGAAGCACCAGGGAGUUCCGUACAGCCUGAACUGCAAUGAAACAACCAGCUUCCCCAGGACAUGGCAGCACCCCAACCUUCUCGGGUCCCCCAAAGAUGGUCAACGCCCCCCACGUCAGCAGGAAGCAGUCUUGAGAAUUCAACACCCUUAUUCCUUAACCUGCCAUGUCUAACACCCCACCUUUUUCUAAUAAUAAGUAGAGGUGGGAAUGAAAGGUUUAGGCAUUAUGCUGGCCUGCCCCUGUUACCUGGUGGAACAGGCAGUACCCUGGUCAGCCCAAGGUUCCAUGGGAACUAAUUCUGCACACAGAUACAGAGGACCCCUUUAAAAGAUAGGUCCCUGCCCAUUUACGCUCUGUUUCUGUUCUGUUUCCUCGCUCUGCUUUCUCUCUACUCUGUCUCCUACCUAUGCGCUCUCUCUGUCUCUCUAAUCUCUAACCGGCCAUGGCGGUCAGCCAUUUACCCCUGUUCCUCUUCUUAGUCUCCCCAUUCUGUUGGGCCUUAUAAUAAACUUAUAAUCUUAUGUCUCAUGUCUCAGCAUUUCUCUUUUCUUUUUUUUUAAACAAAAGAAUAACACCAAGACUGUAGAGAGGAAAGCCUGUCUAUGGGGAAAACAAAAAUAAUAGGUAAAAUAUUUUGAUUGGAG
ensembl:lncRNA